rnacentral:lncRNA from 1 species
AACCCUACUAUGAAAGCAGGAGGUCCUAACUUUUGGUAUACUAGUAUUUAUCAAUGUUUAGAUCUUUCACCAGAAGAAAUGGCUACACUAUUUGAUGCGAAAGCAUCAAUUACAGUGAAUGCUCAAACUAUUUAUAAUUCUUAUAAACAGGCCUUAGACAUGCUAGGCCUAAUAUUCCAACUCCUACUUCGUCCACGUCACAAUCGUCUAAAAGAGUUGCUN